UAACAAGGAUUCCCCUAGUAACUGCGAGUGAAGCGGGAAAAGCUCAAAUUUAAAAUCUGGCAGUCUUCGAUUGUCCGAGUUGUAAUCUGGAGAAGUGUUUUCCGCGCUGGACCGUGUACAAGUCUCCUGGAACGGAGCGUCAUAGAGGGUGAGAAUCCCGUCUUUGACACGGACUACCAGUGCUCUGUGAUGCGCUCUCAAAGAGUCGAGUUGUUUGGGAAUGCAGCUCAAAAUGGGUGGUAAAUUCCAUCUAAAGCUAAAUAUUGGCGAGAGACCGAUAGCGAACAAGUACCGUGAGGGAAAGAUGAAAAGCACUUUGGAAAGAGAGUUAAACAGUACGUGAAAUUGCUGAAAGGGAAACGAUUGAAGUCAGUCGCGUUGGCUAGAACUCAAGCUUACCUCGGUAUGGUGUAUUUCUAGUGACCGGGCCAGCAUCACUUUUGGCUUGCCGGAUAAAGGCCAGGAAAUGUGGCACCUUCGGGUGUGUAUAGUCUCUGGUUGUAUACGGUGGCUGGGAGUGAAGGAUCGCAGCACGCCUUUAUGGCGGGGGUUCGCCCACCAACGUGCUUAGGAUGCUGGCGUAAUGGCUUUAAACGACCCGUCUUGAAACACGGACCAAGGAGUCUAACAUGCCUGCGAGUGUUUGGGUGGAAAACCCGAGCGCGUAAUGAAAGUGAUAGUUGGGACCUCUGUCGUGGAGGGCACCGACGCCCGGACCAGACCUUCUGUGACGGAUCCGCGGUAGAGCAUGUAUGUUGGGACCCGAAAGAUGGUGAACUAUGCCUGAAUAGGGUGAAGCCAGAGGAAACUCUGGUGGAGGCUCGUAGCGAUUCUGACGUGCAAAUCGAUCGUCAAAUUUGGGUAUAGGGGCGAAAGACUAAUCGAACCAUCUAGAGCUG
rnacentral:rRNA from 1 species